UACGGGGGGGGCAAGCGUUGUUCGGAAUUACUGGGCGUAAAGGGCUCGUAGGCGGCCAACUAAGUCAUACGUGAAAUCCCUCGGCUUAACCGGGGAACUGCGCCUGAUACUGGUUGGCUUGAGUUUGGGAGAGGGACGCGGAAUUCCAGGUGUAGCGGUGAAAUGCGUAGAUAUCUGGAGGAACACCGGUGGCGAAGGCGGCGUCCUGGACCAAUACUGACACUGAGGAGCGAAAGCCAGGGGAGCAAACGGG
rnacentral:rRNA from 1 species